rnacentral:rRNA from 1 species
GCUCAGGAUGAACGCUAGCUACAGGCUUAACACAUGCAAGUCGAGGGGUAGCAGGGUAGCAAUACCGCUGACGACCGGCGCACGGGUGAGUAACACGUAUCCAACCUUCCCAUAACUCGGGGAUAGCCUUUCGAAAGAAAGAUUAAUACCCGAUAGUACUUAUAUAAGGCAUCUUAAAUAAGUUAAAGAUUUAUUGGUUAUGGAUGGGGAUGCGUUCCAUUAGAUAGUUGGUGAGGUAACGGCUCACCAAGUCUUCGAUGGAUAGGGGUUCUGAGAGGAAGGUCCCCCACAUUGGUACUGAGACACGGACCAAACUCCUACGGGAGGCAGCAGUGAGGAAUAUUGGUCAAUGGGCGAGAGCCUGAACCAGCCAAGUAGCGU